ensembl:lncRNA
GAAGGAGGGAGAAAAAUGCCAAAAGGUUACUCAUUUUUUCCUGGGAACGUCUCAGCUAGACAAGAACCACUGCAGGUUAAGACAACCCCCCCUACCCUGACGCCUGUAGAACAAAUGGGCCUUCUUCCUCCUGGCAGCAGUCGUUCUGGCAUUUCUAAGGAGACCUGUAAUUCCAAGCAACAACCUCAGAGGUUAAUUGAACUCUAAAAAAGAAUAAAAGGCCAGAAGUGCGCCUUGACGCCCCGUCAGGAGGCAUUACCCUGCAGAUCUUCAAAACCUGUGUAUGAAUUUGCAGUCACCGAGAAGAGCUCGAGCCAGAAGCCGGGAGACUAAGUUGGUUUUAGUAUGUGAAAGGAGAGCAAGUGUUGUGGCCUGGUAUCAGGCCCCGAGUUCUGGUUUUGGUUUGGACACUGACUCACUCGCUGAGCUGGGGGAAAUCGUUUCCCUGCUCUGUGCACCUGUUUCCACUCCCCACCUCUAAUUGUCGGUCUGUUUAGGCUACGAGCUCUUCAGGACUCGGCCUGUCUCUUGCUGCAUGUAUGUGCAACGCCUGAGCACAAUGGAGCCUUGUCUUGGUUGGGGCCUUAGGUGUUGCAGAAAUACAAACAAGAAUAAAAGGUAUGCCCAGACAGCAAGGCAAGCUUCCCAGACGUGCUGCCCUGCGAGCAUGUCUGAAACCCGCUGUGCUGCGAGCUGUCUCUGUUCCCAGUGCUUGGCUUCUCUCAGCCAGCCAACAACGCACGAGCCUGUUCCAGUUACAAUGGUGAGGUGAACUGGCGCGUUCCCAGUUCCACCGGCAGCCGAGGUGAAAUCACUAAACUCUUUUUCGCAAAUUCAAGCAGCGCCUGAUAGGAGCCUCCAUCCUGCACAGCUCCAGACCCGCCUGGAGCUGAGCCACCUCCCUGCAGGUGAAAAGCUCCUCGCAUCAGCCCUGAAACUCGGAGCCAUCUCAUCCUGCUCGCAGCCGACGCUGCGCAAGCUGGAGCCUCGUCCAAUUUGCCAGCAGAGAAAUGAGCAAAGCAGCCUCCCCGUUCCUCCCUUGUCUGACGAGGAGUACUGCACAGAUGAAACCUCUCUCUGCUCCUUCUGGAGGAUUUACACUGCCGCAAGUCUUCAUUUUUUCCAGAUGUUUUACCUAAUAAAUCAAGGAGUCUCAUCAGAGGAUUCGAAUCCAAAAGCUGUUACCAUGACUUCAAAGGCACAGCCUGGAAUGGAGAGAAGCAGUGCAGACGUUUUCUACCGAUCUGUAGUCCCUGAUCAUGAAAAUACACUUCGGUUCCAGGAUCUGUUCUAUAGAUACCAAACCUCUGCCGUGAUUAAAUAAAAUGGUGCUGUGCUCCUUCAGCCAGCCUUGGCUUAAAAAAACUCAGGUAAAGCACUGUCAGGCAGUGUGGUUGGCAGAAAUGGUACUUGCUGACAUGGGUUGGGCCUGGUCCUGAGGGACGGUGAGCUCUGCCAACCCCCAUCCAAAAUCAGGGGCAAAUAACUCCGGUUAAUAACUCUCUCUGUCCUUCCAGAGCCGUACUUGCUGCGUAUUUUCUCUCAAUGCCAGUCUGAGCUAUUCUCACUGGAAGGAUUCAGACCUCAGUUCAUAGUCUUAAAAUGUUUGGGAGGCAAAAGGAUAAAAAGAGUUACACUGCUGCAAAAUAUGCUUGCGGUUAUUCGUACUGGUUUGUUUGUUGAUUAAGAACGUAACAUUUUUUUUAGCGUACCCUUUCCAUUUUGCAAUGUCUGUAAGGUGUCAUUUUCCCUCACUGUUACAUUUCCAAAGAGAAACGGAGCGCAGGGUGCUAAAAUGUUUUAAGAAACAGUUAAUGUAUGUGUUUCUAAUUACUUGAUAGCACACUGUACUGCAGGAUAAUUUCAUGGAGAAAAGCAGCUGAGGAAGGAAAGGAUGUUCCAGCAGGUAGGUGAGCUGAAGACCUCCGAGCCAGGGGUUUGAUUCCCUGCUUUCUUGCAGUGCUGGCCUGGCUGCGGGGCUCUAGGUGCUGCCCGGCAGAGAUGCCCAAGUUGGGCUGUGUUCUGCAGCAGUACUCUUUGGCAGUGGUGCCAAGAUAAGCUGCUCCUGUUUACCCCUUGUCUCCCCCACCUGCACAGGUAGUUUUGGAAGCACAGUCUGAAGCAGAAGAGUUUCCUAGUUGGAUGCAUCUCACAAAUCCCCAGACAGCUGUAUGAGCAGGACUGAGUGGACAGGGCUGGGGGUGAAGGCUGCCAGCGGCAGGGGGGAGAAGCUGGGGUGGCUGGGUCAGGCACUGCCAUGAAAAGAGGUGCGCGAGGAACCGCAGCCCCAGGUGCUUCAGUUACUACAGUGCUAAGUUUCAAGA